AACGAACGUUGGCGGCGUGCCUAACACAUGCAAGUCGAGCGCGGGCAGGACUUCGGUCCUGUUCCGAGCGGCGCACGGGUGAGUAACACGUGAGUAACCUGCCUCGAAGUUUGGGAUAACCGCCCGAAAGGGUGGCUAAUACCGGAUAAGCCCCCACUGGCACAGGCCAGAGAGGGAAAAGACCUUGGCGCUUCGAGAUGGGCUCGCGUCCCAUUAGCUAGUUGGUGAGGUAACGGCUCACCAAGGCGAAGAUGGGUAGCUGGUCUGAGAGGAUGAUCAGCCACACUGGAACUGAGACACGGUCCAGACUCCUACGGGAGGCAGCAGUGGGGAAUAUU
rnacentral:rRNA from 1 species